UGCCCGCCCUCUCACCGUCCCGCCCCUUCUGUCCCUCGCCGGCCCUGCCGGGGGGCUGCGCCUGCGCGUUCGCUGGAGGGGCUGCUGCUGCUCCGUGCCCGGCGCUCGGACCCGGCUGGCGGGCGGCGGGUGAGGGGCCGGUGGCGGGGCAGAGCGAUGAGCUCCCGGAAAGGUACCAUCCCGGGCGGCUGCGGGAGCCCGGCAGCGGUACCGGCUCCUCCGAGGGGGGCUGAGGAAAGUACCCGCGCGCGCCCACUAACCUGUGCCCGUCUCUCCCCAGUGCUGGCCCUGCAGGCCCGGAGGCGGCGGCCCAAGCAGCCCGCGGCGGCCGGCAGGAGGGACAAGCACAAAAACUCAUCAGUCUUAAUGUUGAACUGUUUACAGUCCUUGACCACGGUAUCCAAAAUGGCCUCAUGUCCAGAAGAUGAAGUUUCAAGGCCAGAGCCUCAACAGAAAGCUCCAUCUGCACCACCACCUCCACCUCCGCCCCCACCUCCGCCCCUGCCAGAGCCAGCACCACCAGAACCAGAGGAGGAGAUUCUGGGAUCUGAUGAUGAGGAGCAAGAAGACCCUGCAGAUUAUUGCAAAGGUUUGUGUAAUUAAGCACUAUAUAAAAAGUUGAAUGUUAAAUAGUAAACAUCUAUAUAGCCCUUGACAACUUUGGUCCUCAAGAGCCACUUGAAUGGUCUUCUUUUAGAGUGAAGCUUAUGCUUUUGUGUGGUAGAGACAGAGUUUUCUUAGUGCUGGUCCUAGAUUAUGGAAUUCACUCCUGCAAGAACCAAGGGUAUGUCUACACUAGAGAGACUAUACAGGCAUUGCUAUGUCACCGUAGCUAUGUUGGCAUAACCCUGUAGUAUAGAUGCUGCCUAUAUGUUGGUGUGGGAGCACCACCUCCCUGAUUGAUGGUAGCUCUAAGUCGAUGGAAACAUUCUUCUGUUGACUUAGCUUCAUCUAUACAGGGGAUUAGUUUGGCAUAACUGUGUCGCUCAGGGAGUGCUUUUUUUCCCCACACACCUGAGCAACGUAAUUAUGUUGAUCUAAUUUUUAAGUGUAGACCAAGCCUAAGAAUGGCCACAAAAGUCACCAUUUUCUGUCUAUGCAAUGCUUAUCACUUUUAUUUAUUUUACUUUCCCCUAGGCAAAGGAAUGGAGAGAACAUUUUUGGACCAACAUUAGACACAUUAUUUUUUAACUCUGCGAGGUUUUUAAAUAGUUUGGUAACUGGGAUGAUAUAAUGAUAUAAUAACCUAUACUUAGAAUAGAAUUUAUUUCUCUGAUUCUUCCCUCUAACUUCUCUGCACCAUUGAGACUCACAUUCACUCACUGGAAAUCUUCUGAUCCUGUCCUUGUACAUUAUAUGGAAACUUUAUUCAUACCUUUCUUAUUCUGCUAUUCUGCCUGAUUUACGAUGUGCAUGGGCUAAUUAGAUCAUCAGCUAGUCCAAUUGCCCCAACUUCUGCAGGGAGUCUUGGAACCAUAUCUUGGGGCAUCACUGGGAAUCUGGUAAAGUACGAAACAUUAUUUUAGUGGAGAAUGCAGAUAAACUCAAGACAAGUGAAAGACAAGUAAAUGUUGAGCAAAAAACGUUAAUGUGAACCAGGAGC
ensembl:lncRNA